rnacentral:rRNA from 1 species
AUUCGCCCGUCUUGGAACACGGACCAAGGAGUCUAACAUACGUGCGAGUACUAUGGUGGCAAACCAUUGUGCGCAAUGAAAGUGAAGGCUGGCUUCCGUCAGCUGAGGUGGGAUCCGCAAGGAGCACCAUCGACCGACCAUGUCCCUUCGGGGUAAAGGUUUGAGUGUGAGCAUUUAUGUUGGGACCCGAAAGAUGGUGAA